rnacentral:tRNA from 1 species
UGGGCUGUAGCUCAGUGGUAGAGCACUUGCCUUGCAUGUGUGAGGCACUGGGUUCCAUCCUCAGCACCACAU